GCCGGGGGUGUUCACUUAUAUGGGACAGAGAAAACGGGAAAUACUGUUGAGCCGUGUGUUACUCCGCUCUCUUGCUCCGCGGCGCCCUGGUGAAACAGAUCGCUGAUCCACAGCCCUUUUUAAGCACCUGGAACCCCCAUCAGCCUAGAACCUCCAUCAACCUGGAACCCCCAUCAGCCUAGAACCUCCAUCAGCCUAGAACCCCCAUCAGCCUAGAACCUCCAUCAACCUGGAACCUCCAUCCUGUCUAGUGAACUUAAGCAGUGUUUGGACCAGCAGACCAAUAACAAUAUUUUCUUCCUCUAAUUGAUCAUUUUCGUUUUCUGCUAUCCCCACCAGCGUUGAUAAAGAUCUGAUGUGUCAAAAGAACCAAAAAUGAAUCGUAAUUGGGCUGACAGUCUAAUCCCAGCCUUGGAUUCUGUUAAAGGUUCAAUGCAGCCAUUCUUUAUUCUUAAUACCAAAUAACCUGUGUGAGCCAUUAAGAACUUUCAAUGUUAAGUUACUGCGAUUGUUUUCGGUAUGAUAUUAAAUGGAAAAUAGGGGAAGUAGGAAUGGGACCCCCGAUGUGCAGGGAGUCUGUGUGGAUGAGAGAUUCUAACUCGCCUAAAAACAGAACGCGCCAACAAGCCAACCAGCCUCCUUUGGCUUCCGACAAGGAUUCAGUUCAACUACGGACAAUCUCGGAGUUCGUAACCCUGCGUGCUGUGUGCUGAGAGUCCACCGUGAUCAGCUGGAACGCAACAGACAUCUGAAAAGCGUGAUGGCUCAGCAGGGGAUUCUUUACAAUCAGAAAGAUGGGGGCAGGUGGCUGGGAGGAAUUUCACCAGGAUCGCCCUCUAGGAUGCCCUCAGUCACUUCUGACAAGACAGCGUCUUAUUCACUGGAGGCUACGUGGAUGGCAGUGGAGGGGGAACGCUGUGCCCUUGACCUCUUCAGUGAUUGCUGAUUCAUCUGAAAUCCUUGUGACAUUGACUUGGGCUGCUGGGAAGUACUGGGUCAGGACCGGGCUGUGGGAUGUACUGGGUCAGGACCGGGCUAUGGGAUGUACUGGGUCAGGACCGGGCUGCUGGGAAGUACUGGGUCAGGGCAGGGCUGUGGGAUGUACUGGGUCAGGACCGGGCUGCUGGGAAGUACUGGGUCAGGGCAGGGCUGUGGGAUGUACUGGGUCAGGACUGGGCUGUGGUCGCUGUGUAGCAGCCUGUGGGGAUCUCAGGGCAGAGCCAGCCGAGGCCUGGUCAUAAAUAAAACAUAGUGAAACUAUAUUGUUCUCUGUGUGCAACUGUGUGAAAGGAGACGAGUGAGGUGAGAGAGACGGGAGGAGAGACGAGAG
ensembl:lncRNA